AUCUAGCUGACGAGUCCCAAAUAGGACGAGACGUGCGUCCUUGAU
rfam:Schistosoma mattheei strain Denwood, Zambia genome assembly, scaffold: SMTD_scaffold0024761